GUCCCACUUUCACCCAAGAUUGUCUGCAUCUACUGGGCCCUCAUUCUGCAAAGCAAUGAGGUGACCAUCACGGAGGAUAAAUUCAAUAACCUCAUUAAAGCAGCUGCUGUAACUGUCGAGCCCUUUUGGCCUAGCUUCUUUGCAAAAGCCCUGGCCAGUGUCAAUAUCGGCAGCCUCCUUUGCAAUGCAGGGGUUGGUAGAUGGCUCCAGCAGCCUGCACCGCACAAGCAGGAGGUCCUGCCACUUCCACCACUGCUGCCUCAGCUGAGGAGAGGGAAGUGGAAGCAAAAAAAGAAGAAUCUGAGGAGCCUGACUAGGACAUGGGCUUUGGUCUUUUUG
rnacentral:lncRNA from 1 species